GUGGGGAAUAUUGGACAAUGGGCGCAAGCCUGAUCCAGCCAUGCCGCGUGAGUGAUGAAGGCCCUAGGGUUGUAAAGCUCUUUCGACGGGGACGAUAAUGACGGUACCCGUAGAAGAAGCCCCGGCUAACUUCGUGCCAGCAGCCGCGGUAAUACGAAGGGGGCUAGCGUUGUUCGGAAUCACUGGGCGUAAAGCGCACGUAGGCGGAUCGUUAAGUCGAGGGUGAAAUCCCAGGGCUCAACCCUGGAACUGCCUUCGAUACUGGCGAUCUUCGAGUCCGGGAGAGGUGAGUGGAACUCCGAGUGUAGAGGUGAAAUUCGUAGAUAUUCGGAAGAACACCAGUGGCGAAGGCGGCUCACUGGCCCGGUACUGACGCUGAGGUGCGAAAGCGUGGGGAGCAAACAGGAUUAGAAACCCCAGUAGUCC
rnacentral:rRNA from 1 species